GGUCCCAUCGUCUAAUGGCUAGGACAUAGGAUUUUCAUUCCUAAAAUCGGGGUUCGACUCCCCGUGGGAUCACAA
rnacentral:tRNA from 1 species